rnacentral:rRNA from 1 species
GACGAACGCUGACGGUGUGCUUUAGACAUGCAAGUCGAACGAGAAAGCCCUUCGGGGUGAGUAGAGUGGCGAACGGGUGAGUAACACGUGGGUAACCUGCCCCUCGCAGAGGGAUAACCGGGGGAAACCCCGGCUAAUACCCCGUACGCUUGCCGGGUCGCAUGGCUUGGCAAGGCAAGGUAGCUUCGGCCAUCCGGCGAGGGAUGGGCCCGCGGUCCAUUAGCUAGUUGGUGAGGUAACGGCCCACCAAGGCGACGAUGGAUAGCUGGUCUGAGAGGAUGAUCAGCCACACUGGGACUGAGACACGGCCCAGACUCCUACGGGAGGCAGCAGUCGGGAAUCUUGCGCAAUGGGCGAAAGCCUGACGCAGCAACACCGUGUGGGCGACGAAGGCCUUCGGGUCGUAAAGCCCUGUUGUUGGGGACGUAGGACGAAGGGUUAAUAGCCCUAGUCUGACGGUACCCUUCGAGGAAGCCCCGGCUAACUACGUGCCAGCAGCCGCAGUAAAAC